rnacentral:rRNA from 1 species
GAGAAGGGCGUUUGGUGGAUGCCUUGGCAGUAAGAGGCGAUGAAAGACGUGAUACUCUGCGAUAAGCCAUGGGGAGCUGAGAAUAAGCUUUGAUCCAUGGAUUUCCGAAUGGGGCAACCCACCUGACAGUUUCAUAUUGUUGCGCAAGCACUCAAUAUGUCGCUGAAACAGGUACUUUUAACCUGAAUACAUAGGGUUUUAAGAGCAAACCCGGGGAACUGAAACAUCUAAGUACCCAUAGGAAGAGAAAGAAAAAUCGAUUCCCUUAGUAGCGGCGAGCGAACGGGGAACAGCCCAAACCGAGAAGCUUGCUUUUCGGGGUUGUAGGACUGGACAUUUGAGUUACCAAGAAACGAAGUAGUUGAAUGAUUUGGGAAAAUCAGCCAAAGAAGGUGAAAGCCCUGUAAAUGAAACUUCGUUUCCUCAGUCCAGGAUCCUGAGUACGGCGGAACACGUGAAACUCCGUCGGAAUCCGGGAGGACCAUCUCCCAAGGCUAAAUACUCUCUAGUGACCGAUAGUGAACCAGUACCGUGAGGGAAAGGUGAAAAGCACCCCGGAAGGGGAGUGAAAAAGUUCCUGAAACCAUGUGCCUACAAGUAGUUAGAGCCCGUUAAUGGGUGAUAGCGUGCCUUUUGUAGAAUGAACCGGCGAGUUAUGUUAGC